GGUAAAAUGGCUGAAGAUAGGCAGUAAACUGUAAAUUUAUUUAUGGGAAGUAUUUCUCUUUUACCA
rnacentral:tRNA from 1 species